rnacentral:rRNA from 1 species
AGAGUUUGAUCAUGGCUCAGAACGAACGCUGGUGGCGUGUUUUAUACAUGCAAGUCGAGCGAGGACGGUAGCAAUACCGAGCCGAGCGGCGAACGGGUGAGUAACGCGUAAGCAAUCUGCCCCACAAUCGGGAACAACCGUGCCAACGCGCGGCUAAUGCCGGAUAUUGUAGUCUACUGCAUAGUAGGCCAACGAAAGAUUUAUUGUUGUGGGAUGAGCUUGCGUCCGAUUAGCUAGUUGGCGGGGUAAUAGCCCACCAAGGCGACGAUCGGUAGCCGGCCUGAGAGGGUGAUCGGCCACAUUGGGACUGAGAUACGGCCCAGACUCCUACGGGAGGCAGCAGUAGGGAAUAUUGCGCAAUGGGGGGAACCCUGACGCAGCAACGCCACGUGUGGGAAGAAGCAUUUCGGUGUGUAAACCACUGUCGGAAAGGAAUAACGGAAGACUUCGGUCUUUAUGAAUGUACUUUUAGAGGAAGCACCGGCAAACUUCGUGCCAGCAGCCGCGGUAAUACGAGGGGUGCAAGCGUUGUUCGGAAUCACUGGGCGUAAAGGGAGCGUAGGCGGAAGUGCAAGCAAUCUGUAUAAUCCUGGGGCCCAACCCCAGUUCUGCAGAUUGGACUGUAUUUCUUGAAUAGUUCAGAGGCAAGCGGAAUUUCUGGUGUAGCGGUGGAAUGCGUAGAGAUCAGAAAGAACACCAAUGGCGAAAGCAGCUUGCUGGGGACUUAUUGACGCUGAGGCUCGAAAGUGUGGGUAGCAAACAGGAUUAGAUACCCUGGUAGUCCACACUGUAAACGAUGCAUACUGGGUGUCCGAAAUUCGUUUCGGGUACCGUAGCUAACGCGUUAAGUAUGCCGCCUGGGGAGUACGUACGCAGUAUGAAACUCAAAGGAAUUGACGG